CUGCAGUGAUGGGUUUCUUAGAACACCAUUGGAUUUACCAUGAAAAUUAAUCGGUUCAGCGGU
rnacentral:snoRNA from 1 species